rnacentral:rRNA from 1 species
AAGCCCCCCUCAAGAUGAGAUUUCCCAGUAUGUAAGACCCCUUGAAGACGACGAGGUAGAUAGGUUGGAGGUGGAAGUGCAGCAAUGCAUGGAGCUGACCAAUACUAAUCGGUCGAGGGCUUAUCCA